UAUAUUAUAUAGACCGAAGUAAGAACGUUUUUGGUUCUAAUAAAAGAAGCUUUGCUUCCAGAAAAUAAAUGGGACUUUGUUUCAUUUAAAAUAAAUAGAAAAUUUAAAUACAAAAUAAAAUUAUACAGUCCACUUCAUUCAAUACAACAUUUUGGUCCUUCGAGCCGGAUGUUUAACAAAUUAUAAAUAAAUAAAAUUGUGUUGUGCACAAGAAGAUCCUUUCAAAUUACCGCAUCAGGAAGAAGAAACCUAAAUUGCACUUGAUUUUAAAUCUGAAGACAUCAGAUAAUGCAGCCUACAGAUUCUGUUGCGCAGAGGACAAAACCUCUAUCUAUAUUCUCUCGAAGUGUGAGACAUUACAGAACUGCAGAACACUCACCUGGGAGCGUAUGAAAUAGAAGAUGAAGAUAACUGGCAAUUAAAGCCAUCCCACAUUCUGGACUUUCUAAGAGGAGUGGAAUUAAUUAGCUAUGAAUAGUAGAUUCCAGUAGCGCAACAAUAAAGGGGGACCUUUGGAUUACGGUGUAUAUGAUACUCUGAUUUAUACAUACACAUGUGUAUUUAUCUAUAUGUUUAUUUUGUACUUUUUUCGAAUGUAAUAAAAAUUUUUCGUUUUGCUCA